rnacentral:rRNA from 1 species
AUGGCGGACUGGUGGCGGCGCAUCGUCGUUGUCGUCGUCGCUGUCGCAGAUGACGACAACUCCGCCUUCGUCGCGGCCGCGUCGACGUUCCGUGAAGCGAAGCAGGGCGGCGCGCUGGCGCUCCUUUGCCUUCUCCAGGCGCUCCUUCUCCAUCGCUAUGGAGUCCCUGCGCGCCCAUUCCAGGGCCACUUCGUCGUCGUUGAGCUCCGUCGUCACCGGCGCGGCCGGCUCCUUCUUCACUGGCGCGAGCCCCGGCUCCGUCUUCACCGGCGCGAGCCCCGGCUCCGUCUUUGGCUUGACGAAGGUGCCGAUCCGCAGGCGUUUGUCGGUUUAGUGUGCAAGGUUUUCUGGCCCAAAGAUGAUGAUUGGUACAAGGGUUCCAUCACGGCCUACACGGAACUAACCAAGAAUUUUGGAUACGAUGAGCUACUUGCACCUGCUGUCAGCUUUCAUGACUACCAAGGUCUUGAUCCAGAUAAUAUAGCGUGGGCUAAAAUAACAGGUCAUGCAAUGUGGCCAGUUGUUAUAGUGGACGAGUCAAAUGUUCAUGCUAGCCGGGCCCUAAAGUCAAUUCGGUUUGAUCAAUCAAUACUUGUUCAAUUCUUUGGCACCCAUGAUUUUGCAAGGUUUCUCCUCACACAAAAGCUUCCAGAAAAUAUGUUGCAACUUCGGAAAUCCAUUGAAAAUGAUGGUUCUGAUGAUAAUGGCCAAGAUGACGCGAUAGGCUCUUGUAAUAAUUUAUCA